UUCCAGGUAGCUUAAUGGUAAAGCACCCAACUGGCAAUUGGGGAAUCUAGGAAC
rnacentral:tRNA from 1 species